GUCUUCGUGGCUCAGUUGGUUAGAGCGUUGGUCUCAUAUUCUUCAAUAUGAUCCGGAUAAACCCUGGGGCUAUCCAAAGGUCGUGAGUUCGAGUCUCACCGAGGACA